GAAAUGCGAUAAGUAAUGUGAAUUGCAGAAUUCAGUGAAUCAUCGAAUCUUUGAACGCACAUUGCGCCCGCCAGUAUUCUGGCGGGCAUGCCUGUUCGAGCGUCAUUUCAACCAUCAAGCUUUAAGCUUGUGUUGGAGCCCUGCGGCUGUCCGCAGGCCCCUAAAUACAGUGGCGGGCUCGCUAUCACACCGAGUGCAGUAGUUUUCUUUCUAAGGUUGACCUCGGAUCAGGUAGGGAUACCCGCUGAACUUAA
rnacentral:misc_RNA from 1 species